UUUUCUCUCAGAUCCGAGCAAAGUAGCAAAUCUAGGGAGGGAGAGAGGUCGCCGUCGGGCAGUGGAUACGGGGGUGCGGCCGUUGUGGCUUGCUUGAAGAGCCGUCGGGCAUUGGAUACAGGGGGACGGGCAUGGCCGUCGUGGCUGAAGAUUAGGAUGGGCUCGAAGGGAGGAGCUCCUGCUCGGGGUAGAGAGCAGAGCGGGAGGGGGUCUACUAGCAGCUGCUGCUGGAGGGGAUUGAAGGGAGGAGGGAGGAGCUCCUGCUCGGGUAGAGAGCAGAGCGGGAGGAGGUCUGCCAGCAGCUGCUGCUGGAGGGGAUUGAAGGGAGGACCUGUUGUUGCAUGUGGAGGAAGAACAGAGAGAGAGAGAGAGACAGGGUUGGAUGCCGGUGUGGGCUGGCUAGUGGAGUUGUUGCAUGCGUGCAAAUAUGGAUAGACAAAGAUUUUGGUAAUGGACGAUCAGAGUUAUUUUGAUCUAUUGCAUAGUGAUGCCGGAUUGAAUGAUUUGCACUGGACUGAAGAACAACAUGUCGAUCUUGAAGGGCAUGUAGAACAAGAAAUUGAUCUCCAAGGGCAUGAAGAACAACAAACUGAUCUCGAAGAGACUGAAGAGCCUACCCCUGUGAAAGCAAGGUCUUCGAAAGCAAAGCCGAAGAAAGCAAGCGCUUCGAAGAGGCAAAAGAAUUUCAGCAAGGCUGAAGACUUAACUUUGGUGGAUGCGUACCUCGAGAUAACUCAAGAUCCAAUCAUAGGAGUAGACCAAUCUCGUGACUGUUAUUGGAAAAGAAUCGAUGCUUACUUCCAUGCCAAUAAAUCUGAAGACCAUGGUCGCACACAAGGUUCUCUUCAGCAUCGUUGGGCUAUUAUUCAAGAACAAGUGAAUAGGUUUUGUGCAUGUUAUAGUCAGGUCCAGAAUAGGAACCAAAGUGGGAUGACACGUGAAAAUAAGCUAUGUCAAGCGAUUGUUCUCUAUGCCAAUGGAGACAAGGCAAAUAAAUCAUUUGGAUUGAUGCAUUGCUUUAAUAAGUUGGAAGACACCUAGAAGUGGAAAUCUCGGCCCCAGAAAAAACAGAAGACAUCCUCCUUGGAUACUCCUAAUUCAUCAUCUGCUAGUUUGUUUGAGGAUGAAGCUACAUCUCCCUCUAAAGUUGUUCCUAAGAAAAGGCCACCUAGAAUCAAGAGGGCUAAAGAUGCAGCAUGGCGGGCUCAAAGUUCUUCCAGUACAGGUAAUAGUAGUGCCAUGGAAUCAUUUGGGGGUAUCUUGGAGACAAGGGAGUCAAAAAGACAAGAGCGAUUUGAGCUCAUGAUUGCAAUGGACAAACAGAGAGAAGAAGAUAGGUUGGUAGAAGAAAGAAAGAAACUUGCAAUACAAGAAAAAAAGAUGGAAUUAGAAGAAGAAAAGAUACGAAUCAUGAGAAUGGCGGAAGAACGCAUGAUGGGGGCUGAAGAAAGCAAAAUAAUGAGCAUGGACCUUAGUGGCAUGGAUGAGCAAGAACAAGAAUUCUACAAAUUAAGGAAGAGCCAGAUCAUCAACCGACAUCGUAACUCGUCGGCUUGAGCUAUGUGUUGUAAUCUGUACUACUUAUUAUCUUCGAACCAUUUGGAUGAAAUGUGUCUUGUAAUAUGUACUACUUAUUAUCUUCGAACCAUUUGGAUGAAAUGUGUCUUGUAAUAUGUACUACUUAUUAUCUUCGAACCAUUUGGAUGAAAUGUGUCUUGUAAUCUGUACUAAUUAUUAUCUUCGAACCAUUUGGAUGAAAUGUGUCUUGUAAUCUGUACUACUUAUUAUCUUCGAACCAUUUGGAUGAAAUGUGUCUUGUAAUCUGUACUACUUAUUAUCUUCGAACCAUUUGGAUGAAA